AGAGUUUGAUCAUGGCUCAGGACGAACGCUGGCGGCGCGCCUAACACAUGCAAGUCGAACGAGAGAUGAGGAGCUUGCUCUUCAAAUCGAGUGGCGAACGGGUGAGUAACGCGUGAGGAACCUGCCUCAAAGAGGGGGACAACAGUUGGAAACGACUGCUAAUACCGCAUAAGCCCACAGCUCGGCAUCGAGCAGAGGGAAAAGGAGUGAUCCGCUUUGAGAUGGCCUCGCGUCCGAUUAGCUAGUUGGUGAGGUAACGGCCCACCAAGGCGACGAUCGGUAGCCGGACUGAGAGGUUGAACGGCCACAUUGGGACUGAGACACGGCCCAGACUCCUACGGGAGGCAGCAGUGGGGAAUAUUGCACAAUGGGGGAAACCCUGAUGCAGCGACGCCGCGUGGAGGAAGAAGGUCUUCGGAUUGUAACUCCUGUUGUUGAGGAAGAUAAUGACGGUACUCAACAAGGAAGUGACGGCUAACUACGUGCCAGCAGCCGCGGUAAAACGUAGGUCACAAGCGUUGUCCGGAAUUACUGGGUGUAAAGGGAGCGCAGGCGGGAGAACAAGUUGGAAGUGAAAUCCAUGGGCUCAACCCAUGAACCGCUUUCAAAACUGUUUUUCUUGAGUAGUGCAGAGGUAGGCGGAAUUCCCGGUGUAGCGGUGGAAUGCGUAGAUAUCGGGAGGAACACCAGUGGCGAAGGCGGCCUACUGGGCACCAACUGACGCUGAGGCUCGAAAGUGUGGGUAGCAAACAGGAUUAGAUACCCUGGUAGUCCACACCGUAAACGAUGAUUACUAGGUGUUGGAGGAUUGACCCCUUCAGUGCCGCAGUUAACACAAUAAGUAAUCCACCUGGGGAGUACGACCGCAAGGUUGAAACUCAAAGGAAUUGACGGGGGCCCGCACAAGCAGUGGAGUAUGUGGUUUAAUUCGACGCAACGCGAAGAACCUUACCAAGUCUUGACAUCCUGCGACGCACAUAGAAAUAUGAGUUUCCUUCGGGACGCAGAGACAGGUGGUGCAUGGUUGUCGUCAGCUCGUGUCGUGAGAUGUUGGGUUAAGUCCCGCAACGAGCGCAACCCUUAUGGUCAGUUACUACGCAAGAGGACUCUGGCCAGACUGCCGUUGACAAAACGGAGGAAGGUGGGGAUGACGUCAAAUCAUCAUGCCCUUUAUGACUUGGGCUACACACGUACUACAAUGGCGUUAAACAAAGAGAAGCAAGACCGCGAGGUGGAGCAAAACUCAGAAACAACGUCCCAGUUCGGACUGCAGGCUGCAACUCGCCUGCACGAAGUCGGAAUUGCUAGUAAUCGUGGAUCAGCAUGCCACGGUGAAUACGUUCCCGGGCCUUGUACACACCGCCCGUCACACCAUGAGAGCCGGGGGGACCCGAAGUCGGUAGUCUAACCGCAAGGAGGACGCCGCCGAAGGUAAAACUGGUGAUUGGGGUGAAGUCGUAACAAGGUA
rnacentral:rRNA from 1 species